CAGAAACAAAAAUUAAGUGAAGUGAGCAAUGGUGAUUAUUUACUUUGUGACAUAUCAAAUUGAUUUAUCAUUUUGAUAUCUCAAAACCAAGAUGACAAUCAACCAUACAGGCCCUAAAAUUAUUUGGGAACCAACUGAUAACUAGUUUAAUUCCCAACAGGUCUGAGCUACAAGGUGAACUUAGUUGAUUUUAAAUAAAAAUUAUUUAUAUUUAGUAGGUAUGUGGAAAUUAAUGCCCAUUCUAACUUAUCAAGGCCUUGUAUCCCAAGCCUCCUCCUUGUUAUCUGCAACAAGAUCUGUACCUCAAAUCCAGUAUUUCCAAACAAGGCUGUUGGGCUUCUUCACAUCUUAGCUAAGACAUAAAGUGGCACAAAUCAAGUACAACCACUCUUGAAAUCAAUCAAUUAACUGAAAGACCCUACAAGGUUAACUGGGGAAAAUGCAGGCAGAAAAGAGUGUUGAAGUGGAAUAAUUAAGUUUGGAAAGCCACCCCUGCAGACUUUCCUUCAAAAUGUCUUAUGCCCUUUCCAAUGGGGCAGAUAAUACAGAGAAUAAUUAUGUCCUCACUUCACAAUAUGGCUUCAGCCAAUUCAUUUGCUGCAUGCCUUCUCUCAUCACCAAAAAAAAAAAAAAGCAAA